rnacentral:rRNA from 1 species
UGGGGAAUUUUGGACAAUGGGGGAAACCCUGAUCCAGCCAUCCCGCGUGUGCGAUGAAGGCCUUCGGGUUGUAAAGCACUUUUGGCAGGAAAGAAACGUCAUGGGUUAAUACCCCGUGAAACUGACGGUACCUGCAGAAUAAGCACCGGCUAACUACGUGCCAGCAGCCGCGGUAAUACGUAGGGUGCAAGCGUUAAUCGGAAUUACUGGGCGUAAAGCGUGCGCAGGCGGUUCGGAAAGAAAGAUGUGAAAUCCCAGAGCUCAACUUUGGAACUGCAUUUUUAACUACCGGGCUAGAGUGUGUCAGAGGGAGGUGGAAUUCCGCGUGUAGCAGUGAAAUGCGUAGAAAUGCGGAGGAACACCGAUGGCGAAGGCAGCCUCCUGGGAUAACACUGACGCUCAUGCACGAAAGCGUGGGGAGCAAACAGG